rnacentral:rRNA from 1 species
UGGGGGAUAUUGCACAAUGGGGGAAACCCUGAUGCAGCAACGCCGCGUGAGUGAAGAAGUAUUUCGGUAUGUAAAGCUCUAUCAGCAGGGAAGAAGAUGACGGUACCUGAUUAAGAAGCCCCGGCUAACUACGUGCCAGCAGCCGCGGUAAUACGUAGGGGGCAAGCGUUAUCCGGAUUUACUGGGUGUAAAGGGAGUGUAGACGGCAUAGCAAGUCUGAAGUGAAAGCCCAAGGCUCAACCAUGGGACUGCUUUGGAAACUGUUAAGCUAGAGUGCUGGAGAGGUAAGCGGAAUUCCUAGUGUAGCGGUGAAAUGCGUAGAUAUUAGGAAGAACACCAGUGGCGAAGGCGGCUUACUGGACAGUAACUGACGUUGAGGCUCGAAAGCGUGGGGAGCAAACAGG